rnacentral:lncRNA from 1 species
AAAAAAGUAAACUUACAAUACUCGGAUUGCACAUGUACAUACGUAUUUCUCAUGUUCAAUACACUUAUUUUUUACAAAAUUUUCAAUAAGACACAAAAUUCACAUAUUAUACAAAUAAUUCUCACAUAUUAUUGAAUACAAUUUAUAUAUAUUAAAAUAUUAUGUAGUGGCCGAUUAAUGUCUGUUUUGCUUUGGAUAUGUUGAAAUGAAACUAGCAAAUUAAUAUCUA